rnacentral:rRNA from 1 species
UGGGGAAUAUUGCACAAUGGGCGAAAGCCUGAUGCAGCGACGCCGCGUGAGGGAUGACGGCCUUCGGGUUGUAAACCUCUUUCAGCAGGGACGAAGCGCAAGUGACGGUACCUGCAGAAGAAGCACCGGCUAACUACGUGCCAGCAGCCGCGGUAAUACGUAGGGUGCAAGCGUUGUCCGGAAUUACUGGGCGUAAAGAGUUCGUAGGCGGUGUGUCGCGUCGUUUGUGAAAACCAGCAGCUCAACUGCUGGCUUGCAGGCGAUACGGGCAGACUUGAGUACUGCAGGGGAGACUGGAAUUCCUGGUGUAGCGGUGAAAUGCGCAGAUAUCAGGAGGAACACCGGUGGCGAAGGCGGGUCUCUGGGCAGUAACUGACGCUGAGGAACGAAAGCGUGGGUAGCGAACAGG